GGGACCUCAAGCACCCUGAGAGCAGCUGGGAAGACACCGCAGCGAGGCACGAGCAGUCCUGGGGGUUCCUGCAGUGCUGUGACAGUAACCUUGACCCAGGCUGCGGAGGAGGCAACGAGGACAGGUACCUCCAGAACGCUUUGUGCAUGAGAGAGAAGGUCUGAGCGCGAGCCCUGCUGAGGGCAGCAAGCCCUGGGCUCAUCGGAAGCGCCCGGAGCAACARGGCCCUCGGCUGCCCGUUUGGCAAGGCAGGAAGAACACCCGGGAUUCUCCGGAAGCCCCGAAGGAGGCGACAACUUGGAAAGCSGGGCAGAAAGGGAGAGUUGGACUUUUCCCCUUGGCGCGGAGCUGCGCCU